GCUCUCUCUCCCUCCCGUUAUCCAAUCCCGUCUGAACACCCUCGACCCUAACCAAUCUCUCUCUCUAUCUCUACCCCGCCUCCGUCCGCACCUUCAAGGACUACUCCUACUGCGUCUACUCCGUCUCCGGUGACUGUACUGCACACGUCUCGGACAUGCGUGAGCCUAGAUCCACCAUUAUCAUCCCGGUGCACAAGUUCGAGAUCCUCUCUUGCGAUUCGAACAAGUACGACGACUGCGUCAUCGCCACCGUCUUCGUCGACAAAUCGAUCAAGGUUUGGAACGUCUGAUCCAUUGGAGCUCCGAUUUCGGUGCUCAACGGCCACAGCUACCCCUUCAAAAAAGUCAAAUUCUCGCCGUACCGACAAAGCUUGAUGAUGUCGUGCUCGUACGACUUGUCGGCGUACUUGCCGUUGCUUCAAUACAAGGACUAGACACUGGCGAUGGUUCUGAUAGCUACAGCUCCGGCCUUAGAUCCAUGACUGAUCACUUAGGGUUCCGGUCCUCCCAUUCGCUCUCAAAAUGCCUUCAAUUUUGUGAUUCGCUCACUUGAAGAGUACCGAUUUGCUAAGCAAGAGGAUGAAGAGGUGCUGGUGCUGCAUACGGAUUUGGUCGAAGUCCUCAGCUGAUGGAAGCUCCAUGUAAAAAGAAGAAUGACCAAGGAGGAGAGGCUGGCAUUAGUGAAAGCAGGGAGGGAGGAAAGAGGGAAGUACACAGCUAGAGCUGCUGUAAAACAGAAGAAGGUUGUAGGAACCCCCAAUUACAUGUGUCCUGAACUGCUUGCUGAUAUUCCUUAUGGCUUCAAAUCUGAUAUCUGGUCUUUAGUUUGCUAUUAGCAAUCCUCCGAUUUGGUUAAUCAAAGAAAUGACGUUCAAUUAUAAUUGGCAGAGAUCUGAGUCGAAUUGCAUUUCCUUUCUCUGAAUCUUCUGAGUCUUGACAAUGAAUUAGUGUGACUUUAGUUUGUAAUAGCAUUGCAACAUAUAUCAUGUAAUGAUUUUUGCUAUGGUGAAUCCUGUUCUUUCCCAAUAACAUUCCUCUCUAUCUUGAAUUAGAGUAUUGACAGUUCA